GAUGAACGCUGGCGGCGUGCCUAAUACAUGCAAGUCGAGCGAACAGAUAAGGAGCUUGCUCCUUUGACGUUAGCGGCGGACGGGUGAGUAACACGUGGGUAACCUACCUAUAAGACUGGGAUAACUUCGGGAAACCGGAGCUAAUACCGGAUAAUAUUUCGAACCGCAUGGUUCGAUAGUGAAAGAUGGGUUUGCUAUCACUUAUAGAUGGACCCGCGCCGUAUUAGCUAGUUGGUAAGGUAACGGCUUACCAAGGCGACGAUACGUAGCCGACCUGAGAGGGUGAUCGGCCACACUGGAACUGAGCCACGGUCCAGACUCCUACGGGAGGCAGCAGUAGGGAAUCUUCCGCAAUGGGCGAAAGCCUGACGGAGCAACGCCGCGUGAGUGAUGAAGGUCUUCGGAUCGCAAAACUCUGUUAUUAGGGAAGAACAUACGUGUAAGUAACUGUGCACGUCUUGACGGUACCUAAUCAGAAAGCCACGGCUAACUACGUG
rnacentral:rRNA from 1 species